GUGAACUGAGCAAGUGAGGGAUCUAGGUUGCAUGCUUCUUAUGAGAAUCUAAUGCCUGAUGAUCUGUCACUGUCUCCUAUCUCAUCUAAUUGCAGGAAAACAAGCUCAGGGCUCCCACUGAUUGUACAUUAUGGUGAGACGUGGUCUUGUAACACAGUGGUUAAGAAUGUGACUUUGGAGCCAGCCUGCUAGGGGCUGAAUUCUGACUCAGCCAUUUACUAACUGUGUGACCUUAGGGAGGAGGACCUGGUUGAUAGAAGAAUUUAUCUCGUAGUCUUAACAUCCACUGUAAUUCCAAACUUUGAGGACGAUAGAGAUCAGUGGGCUUUGACUGCCCAGCAUGCAGUCUCCAUUCUUAGGUGGGUUCCCAAGCCUGUAAAAUGUAAGCCUUAUGCUGCUGAGGGCCAUCUUGCCACCCUGAGGGAAACGCUGCCUGAGAAUGAAACAAGCAUAAGUAAAAGCUGAGCUGUGAGAUGGAGCAAGAUGAAGGCCACAUGACAUCUUUGGAGCACCUGGAUCUAACUGUGCCUUAAGCUAGUCUAACCCUGAACAUUUCAUCAUUUCAUUGACAUGAGCCCAGGUUUUCUUUUUUUUUGGAUGGAGUCUUGCUCUGUCGCCCAGGCUGGAGUGCAGUAGCUCAAUCUCGGCUCACUGCAAGCUCC
rnacentral:lncRNA from 1 species